GUUCCAGUGACGCAGUGGUAGCGUAUGAGAUUGCAAAUCUUAGUGUCCUUGGUUCGAAUCCGAGCUGGAGCU
rfam:Pochonia chlamydosporia 170 chromosome 7, whole genome shotgun sequence.